rnacentral:rRNA from 1 species
AGAGUUUGAUCCUGGCUCAGGAUGAACGCUUAGCGGCAGGCCUAACACAUGCAAGUCGAGGGGCAUCACGGAAAAGCUUGCUUUUCCGGUGGCGACCGGCGCACGGGUGAGGAGCACGUAUGGAACCUGCCCCUGUCAGGGGAAUAGCCCAGGGAAACUUGGAUUAAUGCCCCAUGGUACCGGGACAUCGCAUGAUGUCUUGGUUAAAGAUUUAUCGGACAGGGAUGGCCAUGCGCACCAUUAGCUUGUUGGGGGGGUAACGGCCCACCAAGGCUACGAUGGUUAGGGGCCCUGAGAGGGGGAUCCCCCACACUGGUACUGAGACACGGACCAGACUCCUACGGGAGGCAGCAGUGAGGAAUAUUGGACAAUGGCCGGGAGGCUGAUCCAGCCAUGCCGCGUGCAGGAUGACCGCCCUAUGGGUCGUAAACUGCUUUUGUACGGGAAGAAACCCCCCCCACGUGUGGGGGGCUGACGGUCCCGUAAAAAUAAGGAUCGGCUAACUCCGUGCCAGCACCGGCGGUAAUUC